UACUCCUAAUGACAUCUCUACUCCUAAUGUCUCAGUUGAUAGUCUCCGUCCCACGGUUAAUUUUCGUCCCAUCUUUUCUGGUUUAUUUUCGUCCUCCCUCCCACCUUGCAGGUAGAGAGGUCGACAAAAAAACUCCCAGCGACCCCUCCACGUCGGUCGAACCAAGGGCAAACCUCCCGUCGCAGAAAGGGCGGAAAAAACCUACGAAAUUAAACCAGCGAAAAAAAUCUACGAAAUUAAACCAGCGAAUCGGUCGCACGAGGCCCCCUGCCCUCGUGCGAGAGCGAGAACCACUCGCACGCACGACUCGUUUGUGUAAAGGAAAAAAACACGACCACAGGAGGAGCACGGGCUCGCCUCCUCUCCCUCUCGCCCACUAAGUCAUCGCCGCCGCCACCACCACGCACGCCGGCCGCUUCCAGCGACCUCCGGCGCCGUGCAGCACGCCCCCGAGCUCCCCACCGUCCGCGCCUCCCUCCCCUCCGGCCAUAUUCUCCGCUCCCAUCCUCUACCGCCCGCUCGCAACCCCACCACCAUGGCUAGGGUUUCGGGCAGGGCUUCGCCGGAGCCACGAGCGCGACAACAGCGGCGGUGGCUCGGAGCCACGACCGUGAAUGCCGGAGCCCAUCGAGUCGCGCAAGCACCCCAACUGCUUCCUCCAGUCGCCCCCCUCCAUGGCUACAUCUUGGUCUCGCUUAGCUAUCAGUACAGUGCAGAUUGGUUUCUCUAUUCAAUUGAUUUGGCUGUCUAUGUACUACCUGAAUUCCAAGAAAGAAGUCCACAUAACCCCCUAGGACUUCACAAACCAGCCAGUUUACCCCCUAAGUUUUAAAACCGGGUAUCUAACCCCCCGUUCAUUCCUAAACCAGGCGAAUCACCCCCUAGCACGGAUCAGAGUGGUUUCGUAGGCGGUUUUGUUGACGUAGCAAGGUGCAGCUCGUUUCUGAUCUGCACCCGGCCUUGUCCACAUCCUCCUCCGGGCACGAGCGGCGUUGUGCCACUCGCGGUGCUCACCGAGUCCCAUUCUUGUAAUUGUGUGCAUCUCGACGCCACCCUCCACCUCCACGUCUCCAGGUUUCCAUGCACACUCGGAAGGCAUCCUCUCCAUCAGGCGGACGACAUUGUCGAACCUGCCGCUCUGGCCCGGCGCAUGCCCCCGGGGUUCGAGGGAUCCUUCUGGACGUCUACACCGUCGCAUCCGUGCUGCGCAGUCGCGGCUGCGCGCUGGGGUGCACCCACCGUACAACCCGCCAGCUGACGCAAGUACUGGCAAGAGAUCAUCCAUGUACUACCAUCGACCAGUGGCUCUUGUACUCAAGCUCUCUGAGGCGGACGGUGGUGGGGCGGUCGUGGUCGUCUACGAUGGUGACAAGCAGGACAUGGGUGCGGGAAGCAGCGAGGAGCAGCGUAUUUGUGGAUGUUGUCCAGAUCGCGCGUGAACGCAAGCUCAGCCGAAGACAAUACACAAGUAUAUAGCUGCUGGAUCGAUUCCCUCCUCGACAAACACACACAUACACACAAGACAACUACACAAGUACGUGCCACCAAGUCUGAGACGGACAUGAUCACAAUUCACACAACCUAAUCGUGUUUAGCUCUAAUAACCAAUAAUGGAUGUCGACAGCUGCCGGCGGCAGCCGCAGGCGGCACGGGUGCCAGCUCAGUAGGCGACGGUGCAGUGUUGUCCCGGAGAACGAAGCGGACGCUCGCCGGCAAUAGGCUGCCGAGGCGACUACGGUACGGCAGCGCACGAGAAACUGCAAGCCGAGAUUGCAUGCGAGCCAAACGACAGUCAGUGUGCUUGCUUUCUGGAGCACGAUGCCUAACGAGGAGCUGGUGCUUCACAAGGAGCCGGGAGCCUUGCCAAUUUGCCAUCCCAUUACACACCAUAAUUUUUUACCGGAGGCGGAGGCCGAUGAAAGGCAAUUCGUGAACCACAGGCUGAGCUUCCUCGUGGCCGGCUGCUGGCUGGUGCUGCUGCCUACCAGUGCCUGAAUGACGCAAGUAGUUUGGGUGCGAUGACCUGAGCAACAUGCGACGGGAGAAAGCUGGGCGGAGGAACUGUAUCGACGAGACGACAACCUCGCACCCACAACCUUUCCACUUCACCCAAACCGCCUGAAAAACCACUCUGAUCGGUGCUAGGGGGUGAUUCAUUUGGUUUAGGAAAGUACAGGGGGUUAAAUACCCGGUUUUAGACCUUAGGGGGUAAACAGGCCGGUUUGUGAAAUCCUAGGGGGUUAAAGUGGACUUCUUUCGAAUUCCAAGGGAACCAACUUACAUGGCGUAAUGGAUGGAGAUCAGUAGAUGUUUUCCUGAUCUGUUCACUUGUUUUUGAUAGUUCCCGUCAGAUUACAAGCAUGGGCUUUGUGCAGUAGGCAGAAAUCUUUUUGUAAUCAAUCAAAGACAAUGCGAACGUUUACUGAAAACUUUGUAAGUGUUGAUCCUAUGAAUUGCUUUGAUUGGAAGUCCAACGAUGAUCUCAUCUUAUUAGGAACUCAUUUUUCAAACAUAUGCAUUGGUAGUUUUUAUCUCUUUGCUUUUGCGUUCUGAACAUACUGGAUUGCACUCUGUAGGAGAUGGCACAGUGCUGCAAACAACUCAUUAUAGUAGUUAGCAAAUGCAAAUCAUUGUAUAUUGUUAGUUAUGUGUCUUUUCAUAUGAAAUACUAUUAUUUUGGGGAAAGGAAUCUGGCUGAGUUUUAAUAAAACACCUCAGAUUUUGUAUGGUGAGAUUGUCUUCAGCAAACAAGAUAUGUAUUGUUAUUGGGUUCUUUUAUUUUUGUUCUAGGUGUUAUUGGGGAGUAUUUUUUCAUGGUUGGAAACAAGAUGUUGCUGGUGUUGGAGCCCGCAGAGAAGGGUAUUAUAUUAGUCUACUUACUUCUGAAGGUGCACUAGAAGAUAGUGGAUGUCCAGAUUCUUUGGCCUCAGAAAGGUGGUGAUAAAAAUCCUGAAGUAUUGUCAGCAUUUUCCUCUAAAAAUGGAAAGGGCAAAUAAAGAAGUUUACGGUACUAAGCUUGACGCUGCUCGGUGUGUUGUUCUUCGUCGGCGUGGAGCUAGCUGUCGCCGCUAUGGUACAUGUACCUGUUGGCUCCGCUUGACGUAGUUCGCGAUGGACAUAGACAUGGGAACAUCACGACGGAGAUCUUCCACUUCAACCAGCGGUUCUGGGGUGACUGUGGCGGUCGGCCGGUGACCAAGCUCAAAAUCUGGUUCAGCGUCAACGGUGGGCUGCGCUCCAGUGCGAGGGGUGGUGGUGGCGCUUCGAGGAGGAGACAGCUGCGAGCCUUCGUCGGUUGCUUUGUGUACUUCUACUUUUCACUCUCAGAAUCAAUUCGCGAUUCCAUGGUGAGUCAUUACCAACCAAAUUAUGGUUGGUUCUGCUCUAGGCAGCAGAUCAGGAAGCAACAAGCCCCAUCUCUCUGGUGCUCCAGUAGUGGAUAUUGCUGAAAUAGCUAAAGGAUUUAGUUGUAACACUUUCUCUGAACUUUACUCAACAAGCAAGUUUUCCAAAAAUUGAAGUCGAAUUUUUUCAGGGUUCCUGUACAUAUACACAAAUAGUGGGAAAUUAAAAGCCCUUAGAUAUUGUUGUGCUCUUUUGAAAA